AGUGUUACUGUGCUCCCCAGACUGCAUGUUGAAACCUUAACCCCCAAAUGGGAUGGUAUUAGGAGGUGGGACCUUUGGGAGUUAAUUAGGUUUAGAUGGGGUCAUAAGAGUAGAGUCCCCAUGAUGAGAUUAGCAUCCUUAUAAGAAGAG